UGGGGAAUAUUGGACAAUGGGCGAAAGCCUGAUCCAGCCAUGCCGCGUGAGUGAUGAAGGCCUUAGGGUUGUAAAGCUCUUUUGCCAGGGACGAUAAUGACUGUACCUGGAGAAUAAGCCCCGGCUAACUUCGUGCCAGCAGCCGCGGUAAUACGAAGGGGGCUAGCGUUGUUCGGAAUUACUGGGCGUAAAGCGUGCGCAGGCGGUUUCUCAAGUCAGGGGUGAAAGCCCGGAGCUCAACUCCGGAAUUGCCUUUGAAACUGUGAAGCUAGAGUGCGGGAGAGGUGAGUGGAAUUCCCAGUGUGGAGGUGAAAUUCGUAGAUAUUGGGAAGAACACCGGUGGCGAAGGCGGCUCACUGGCCCGUUUCUGACGCUCAUGCACGACAGCGUGGGGAUCAAAC
rnacentral:rRNA from 1 species